rnacentral:lncRNA from 1 species
UUGGAGAAAUAGAAAGUAAUUGCCUGUUUAUAGGAUGUUUUGCUAUCAUCAAAUAAAAUUAUCAUAAUCAAGCAUCUAUAAAUACAAUAAAAGAAACCUACAAAGGUUCCAGAGCAUGAUCUGUCAUAUCCCUCUAUACCCCUGAUAUAGGAUGUACCGUUCCAUACAAGUACCACACCCGUAUGGCAUCUCGAGACUCAAUAUGCUGUCUCGUGCUGUAAUGAACCGUAUACCAACACCAU